GCGACCCCMGGUCAAGCGGGACUACCCGCUGAGUUUAA
rnacentral:rRNA from 1 species